GAUUAGGGUUCAUUCGUUUUUCAGCACAACAAAGAAGAAGGAGAAGUUUUGUGCGGCUGGGUUCCCCAUCUCACCAGCGGUGCAGUUGUUCUUGGUGGUUAUUGUGCUCGGCAACGGCUAUGCUGUAGGUCGGCCACGGUUUUUGACACCUGGGCAAUCUCGGCCAAGGUUCUCAGCGGCGCUGCAGGUGGUUCUCGGCGCUGCAGGGGUGCUCAGAGCUGGAAGAGGUCUCGACGCUGUAGGUGUUUUCGGCCACGACGGCGGUGGCAGCAGAGGUCUCGGUGGAAUCUGAGAACCCACUAAAAUCCAGCAUGGAGGGCUCAUAAUGACGACAGCUCAGGACAAACAGUGGGGCUCGGAGUGGUUGCGGCUUGGGCCGAACGAAGGGGCUCGAAGCGGCCACGACUUUGGCUGAACGGAGGGGCCACGGGACGAACGACGGUGGCGUGGGACGACCACAACACAAAGAUGGUGGUGUGGGACGAUCGACAAUGACAGUGGCUCCGGACGAACGACGGGGGUUAGCCCUCCGAAAGCUUCACAUAGGCUCACUGCUCAUAGAGUUUUACAUGGAUUCAGAAACCAGAGGGAUAAUGGCAGUAUAUGCCACUAGACAGCUAAGGAGAACUUCUGAGAUUAUAUUUAUUGCAAUCUAAUGCUUUUUGUUGAGGGGACAAGCUUCACACACACUUCUCAUACACCAUUUGGUUUGUCCUUUUAUAAAUAAUGUAAUAUUAGAACAAUUUUAGAGUGACAUUAUUUGUAAGAUCCAUCAAUAGAGUAUCAGAUUGAAAUAUUUAGAUUGUUAUUAGGACUUAUAGUUGGUUUGAGUUUUCUUAUGUAUUUGUUUUUUUUUUAUUGAUAAAUAUUGAAAGAUGUUAUAAGCUAGCUUACAAUACAUGUUAAUGAGAAAUUUAAAUUUCUUUUAAUUUUUUUGGCAUUUUUUAGUAUUUUCUUUUAAUACAUUUUGGACACUCAAAGGGAUAUGUUUUUUAAAUUAAAAUGAAAAUUGUAGCUGCAUUUUUUUUUUUUUUUAAAUUACUUUUAAGGGCAUGCAAAGAGAGUCAUAAAAACGUAAUUUAAAGAUACUUAACUGGAUCUUUUAGGACACGUAUUGCGAAAUUACUUAAAGGCACUCAACCAGAUUUU